AUCAGGGUCACCCUCCCACCCGUGUUUAUUUUACCUUGUUGCUUCGGCGGGCCCGCCUUAACUGGCCGCCGGGGGGCUUACGCCCCCGGGCCCGCGCCCGCCGAAGACACCCUCGAACUCUGUCUGAAGAUUGAAGUCUGAGUGAAAAUAUAAAUUAUUUAAAACUUUCAACAACGGAUCUCUUGGUUCCGGCAUCGAUGAAGAACGCAGCGAAAUGCGAUACGUAAUGUGAAUUGCAAAUUCAGUGAAUCAUCGAGUCUUUGAACGCACAUUGCGCCCCCUGGUAUUCCGGGGGGCAUGCCUGUCCGAGCGUCAUUGCUGCCCUCAAGCCCGGCUUGUGUGUUGGGCCCCGUCCCCCGAUCUCCGGGGGACGGGCCCGAAAGGCAGCGGCGGCACCGCGUCCGGUCCUCGAGCGUAUGGGGCUUUGUCACCCGCUCUGUAGGCCCGGCCGGCGCUUGCCGAUCAACCCAAAUUUUUAUCCAGGUUGACCUCGGAUCAGGUAGGGAUACCCGCUGAACUUAAGCAUAUCAAUAAGCGGAGGAAAAGAAAUCCUUC
rnacentral:rRNA from 1 species